rnacentral:lncRNA from 1 species
UGAAGACGAUAUUAUUAAACCCGAACUUGAUGUAAGAAUAUCAAACCCUUACAACUCAAUUUAAAAAUAAAAAUAAUGCAACACACUUUAAUGAAUACCCCAUCAUAUGUGAGAGAAUAAUUCUCCACUUUAUUCUCACGAACAAACACCUCGAUACUACUAUCUGAUCCCGUUCUAAGGAUCUUACCUGCAUAUAAUUCAUUAAAGAGAAAUAAGAAGAAAACAUGGGGUGAGAUAAGUUUCAAAUCACUUCAAGUGGUAUAAUAAUUUCAAUAUAUAGAAACAAACACACAAAAGUACAUUUGAAAAACUAAUAAUAAUAAUAAUAAUAAUAAUAAUAAUAAUAAUAAUACAACUGAUUGAAUUUAGUGAAAUUGUGCUUAAUUUAGGAGCUACAUUAAAUGUAUACACCAACCAUAUUUUAUCAACACAAAUUUCAAGGUCAUCCCCUCCACUUACAACUAUCAUUAUAUUCAUCCAUAAAGGGUUCAAUAGUCUAAGUCAAUCAUUUAAUUCGAUUUAUAGAAGUCUAGUGAAAAUAAUCCAUAAAAUUUUUAGGGUUAAGUUUUUAGGUCUCUAUAAAAAAAUUGGGCAUGUUAUGGUUCCUAUAAAAAUUCUAUGCAUGCAGUUUUAGUUCCUGUUAUUUAUCAAAAUUGUUUAAUUAUUCUUAAAAUUUUUAUAUUUUUGAAUAAUUAUUUUUCAGAUAUUUUAACAAUUCUAUAAAAAGAUCAAGAUAAAAGAAAUGAAAAUCUCAAAUUAGAAGUCAUAUAUUUAGCUUCUGUUUUUUUGAGGAACGUCUUAUAUUGUUCUGAACAAGUCUUCAAAAUAAUCAAUAAAAAAUGCACAUUGGUUUAAAAUUAAGGAUUAAAACUACGUGUAUAAUAAUUUUAUAGAGACUAUGUCAAUUUUUUAUAGAGAAGAAAACAAAAUUUGAUAAAGUUAUAAAAAUCUAAAAAUAUUUAACCCGAAUUUUUAUUUUUAUUAAAUUUCAACCAAUUUUAGUUGUUAAAAUUGUUAUUGCAACCAAAACCUUUUGUUCACUUAAGUUGCUUCCACUCCUUGGUCUAGUUAAUGGCUAAGGCGUAUUUUGAAGUCAUUCAUUUUGAGUCUUUCAAAAUUGUUUCCUAAUCGUUGCCUAUCGUUUAGCAACGAUUUUUUUUCUUGUAGAAACAGUUUUUGUCCAUUGCCUUGGUUUCAACACAUUUACGUUUUUUUUAUAUAAGUGAAUGCUCUGAAAUUUUCAUAUUUAAUUACUGUUUGUGAAUUCAAAUUUUAAUUUUCUCUGUCCUUUAUAAGGAGGGUGAUUAUAUAUAUGCAUACAAAUUAGAAUAUCUUACUCUCUAACUAUGAUGAUAUUAUCAAGUUAGUAGAUGAUAGUUGUACAAAGACAUCCCGAAGAUAAGUGUAAAACUCAAUAAUAUUAUAACUUAUAUCGCUUUUGUACCAUAAUAUAGGUCACUUUAGGGAAAAAAAUUGUAUCGUAAUAUAUGUCGCAAUGAAUCAAUUAAUGUUAUUUUUCCUAUUGCUUGUUAAAAAAAAUAUAUUUUUCCUAUUAUACCCAUAACUAUUUAUUACUUUCUCUUCUUUCAAGUUUUAUUUUUUUUCCUAUUAUACCAUAAAUGAACUUAUCAUUGCUAUCUUUUCCAUACAACAUUAAUUAACUUUCUUAAUAUGUGUAAAAGUGCUAAAAUGACAUGUAUUGUGGUACAGAGGGAGUAACAAACAUAUGAUGAUACUAUUAAUAAUAUUUUCAUUAGAUACUGACCCAUAUAUAUAUAUAUACUCCAAAUUAUCAAAUUGAUUCACAAAAACAUAUUUCAAAUUAUCAUAUUUUACUUUUUCAAUUUUUCUUAAUAUAUAAGUGUGAUUUUUUUUUCUUAUAAUUUGGGACGAAGGAAGUACAUGAGAGAAAUUAUAAGAUUAACAUUAAGAUGAGCAAUGAAAAUGGAAGGUCAUGAUAGAGAAAUAAGACUUACUCUCUUAACUUUUUACAUUCAUUUCUAAAGCACACCACUGUUUUUGGAUCAGCAAUUGGAAAGUGUCGAUAGCAAUCUUCGUCAGUUUCGCACUUUACUUUAUUAUAUGUACAAUAAGAAUAAAGAAAUAUUACUAAAAUGGAUGAAAGAUUGUGUAUAAAAUAAACAAAAAUUAUUAUGACAAUAAACUUACUUAUACCAACGACUACAACGAUGAAAAGAGAAAUAAAAAGUAUCAUAAUAUAAACAAACUUGAGAGUUUCAGCCAUUUGUUUUUUACCUUUCAAUGUACAAAUUUAAAAUGUUUUGAUGACUUUAUAUAGUAAAAACUUCUUGCUAUAUUUAUGUCAAAUAAGUAAUUUUUA